ACGCUCGACACCUACGGGAGGCAGCAGUGGGGAAUAUUGCACAAUGGGGGAAACCCUGAUGCAGCGACGCCGCGUGGAGGAAGAAGGUCUUCGGAUUGUAAACUCCUGUUGUUAGGGGAAAAAGAGGAUGGUACCCAACAAGGAAGUGACGGCUAACUACGUGCCACAGCCGCGGUAAUCUGAGCGGGCUGGCAAGGC
rnacentral:rRNA from 1 species